rnacentral:rRNA from 1 species
UGGGGAAUAUUGGACAAUGGAGGGAACUCUGAUCCCGCAAUUCUGUGUGCACGAAGAAGGUUUUCGGAUUGUAAAGUGCUUUCAGUUGGGAAGAAGUAAGUGACGGUACCAACAGAAGAAGCGACGGCUAAAUACGUGCCAGCAGCCGCGGUAAUACGUAUGUCGCGAGCGUUAUCCGGAAUUAUUGGGCAUAAAGGGCAUCUAGGCGGUUAUGCAAGUCAGGGGUGAAAACUUACGGCUCAACCGUGAGCUUGCCUUUGAAACUGUGUGACUAGAGUACUGGAGAGGUGGGCGGAACUACACGAGUAGAGGUGAAAUUCGUAGAUAUGUGUAGGAAUGCCGAUGAUGAAGAUAGCUCACUGGACAGAAACUGACGCUGAAGUGCGAAAGCUAGGGGAGCGAACAGGAUUAGAUACCCUGGUAGUCCUAGCUGUAAACGAUGAUCACUGGGUGUGGGCAUGAAGAGUGUCUGUGCCGAAGCGAAUGCGAUAAGUGAUCCGCCUGGGGAGUACGACCGCAAGGUUG